ensembl:lncRNA
GGAAGAACUGCCUAUUAAUGUGCACUGUGGAUGUGACACGACUGUGCCAGGUAGGCAAAUCUGAAAUAGUGUUCGCCUAAAAAAGCUUUUUUAUGAAUGGAGUGAAUGACAUUCUCAAAAAAAAACAAAAAAAACGUAUAAUUUAGAUGCUUAAUUAGGCUACUCAGAGAGAGGGACGUCAUUGAACAAGCAGGCGUUGCAACGGCUGAAACAUGAAAUGAAUGAAUAGAGACAAUUUGCUACAGCAUACCUACAUCUUUUAUUUAAGGUCAUCAUCUCGUCUCUAUAGAGCUGCUGCCUAUGCUGACAAAAUCAAAAUGUUUGUAGUUCUUCAAAGUAAAUGAGGUAUACUUUUAUGACUGCUGAAUACCAAC